ACGGGACCCGCACAAGCGUGGAUGAUGUGGAUUAAUUCGAUGCAACGCGAAAACCUUUACCUACCUUGACAUGUCCGGAAUCCCGAAGAGAUUUGGGAGUGCUCGCAAGAGAGCCGGAACACAGGUGCUGCAUGGCUGUCGUCAGCUCGUGUCGUGAGAUGUUGGGUUAAGUCCCGCAACGAGCGCAACCCUUGUCAUUAGUUGCCAUCAUUUGGUUGGGCACUCUAAUGAGACUGCCGGUGACAAACCGGAGGAAGGUGGGGAUGACGUCAAGUCCUCAUGGCCCUUAUGGGUAGGGCUUCACACGUCAUACAAUGGUCGGUACAGAGGGUUGCCAACCCGCGAGGGGGAGCUAAUCCCACAAAGCCGAUCGUAGUCCGGAUCGCAGUCUGCAACUCGACUGCGUGAAGUCGGAAUCGCUAGUAAUCGUGGAUCAGCAUGUCACGGUGAAUACGUUCCCGGGUCUU
rnacentral:rRNA from 1 species